AACGAACGCUGGCGGCAUGCCUUACACAUGCAAGUCGAACGGUAACAGGUCUUCGGAUGCUGACGAGUGGCGAACGGGUGAGUAAUACAUCGGAACGUGCCUAGUAGUGGGGGAUAACUACUCGAAAGAGUGGCUAAUACCGCAUGAGAUCUACGGAUGAAAGCAGGGGAUCGCAAGACCUUGUGCUACUAGAGCGGCCGAUGGCAGAUUAGGUAGUUGGUGGGAUAAAAGCUUACCAAGCCGACGAUCUGUAGCUGGUCUGCGAGGACGAUCAGCCACACUGGGACACAGACGCGGCCCAGACUCCUACGGGAGGCAGCAGUGGGGAAUUUUGGACAAUGGGCGCAAGCCUGAUCCAGCAAUGCCGCGUGCAGGAUGAAGGCCUUCGGGUUGUAAACUGCUUUUGUACGGAACGAAAAGCCCUGGGUUAAUACCCUGGGGUCAUGACGGUACCGUAAGAAUAAGCACCGGCUAACUACGUGCCAGCCGCCGCAGUAAAAC
rnacentral:rRNA from 1 species